GAUGAACGCUGGCGGCGUGCCUAAUACAUGCAAGUCGAGCGAACAGACGAGGAGCUUGCUCCUCUGACGUUAGCGGCGGACGGGUGAGUAACACGUGGAUAACCUUCCUAUAAGGCUGGGAUAACUUCGGGAAACCGGAGCUAAUACCGGAUAAUAUAUUGAACCGCAUGGUUCAAUAGUGAAAGACGGUUUUGCUGUCACUUAUAGAUGGAUCCGCGCCGCAUUAGCUAGUUGGUAAGGUAACGGCUUACCAAGGCAACGAUGCGUAGCCGACCUGAGAGGGUGAUCGGCCACACUGGAACUGAGACACGGUCCAGACUCCUACGGGAGGCAGCAGUAGGGAAUCUUCCGCAAUGGGCGAAAGCCUGACGGAGCAACGCCGCGUGAGUGAUGAAGGUCUUCGGAUCGUAAAACUCUGUUAUUAGGGAAGAACAAAUGUGUAAGUAACUAUGCACGUCUUGACGGUACCUAAUCAGAAAGCCACGGCUAACUACGUG
rnacentral:rRNA from 1 species